UACGUAGGGGGCAAGCGUUGUCCGGAUUUAUUGGGCGUAAAGCGCGUGUAGGCGGCCAGGUAGGUCCGUUGUGAAAACUCGAGGCUCAACCUCGAGACGUCGACGGAAACCAUCUGGCUAGAGCCGGAAGAGGAGAGUGGAAUUCCUGGUGUAGCGGUGAAAUGCGCAGAUAUCAGGAAGAACACCCGUGGCGAAGGCGGCUCUCUGGGA
rnacentral:rRNA from 1 species